rnacentral:rRNA from 1 species
GACGAACGCUGGCGGCGUGCUUAACACAUGCAAGUCGAACGGAAAGGCCCUGCUUUUGUGGGGUGCUCGAGUGGCGAACGGGUGAGUAACACGUGAGUAACCUGCCCUUGACUUUGGGAUAACUUCAGGAAACUGGGGCUAAUACCGGAUAGGAGCUCCUGCUGCAUGGUGGGGGUUGGAAAGUUUCGGCGGUUGGGGAUGGACUAGCGGGUUAUCAGCUUGUUGGUGGGGUAGUGGCUUACCAAGGCUUUGACGGGUAGCCGGCCUGAGAGGGUGACCGGCCACAUUGGGACUGAGAUACGGCCCAGACUCCUACGGGAGGCAGCAGUGGGGAAUAUUGCACAAUGGGCGGAAGCCUGAUGCAGCAACGCCGCGGGCGGGAUGACGGCCUUCGGGUUGUAAACCGCUUUCGCCUGUGACGAAGCGUGAGUGACGGUAAUGGGUAAAGAAGCACCGGCUAACUACGUG